AUGCACGCUGGCGGCGUGCCUCAUCCAUGCAAGUCGCGCGAACAGACGAGGAGCUUGCUCCUCUGACGUUAGCGGCGGACGGGUGAGUAACACGUGGAUAACCUACCUAUAAGACUGGGAUAACUUCGGGAAACCGGAGCUAAUACCGGAUAAUAUAUUGAACCGCAUGGUUCAAUAGUGAAAGACGGUUUUGCUGUCACUUAUAGAUGGAUCCGCGCCGCAUUAGCUAGUUGGUAAGGUAACGGCUUACCAAGGCGACGAUGCGUAGCCGACCUGAGAGGGUGAUCGGCCACACUGGAACUGAGACACGGUCCAGACUCCUACGGGAGGCAGCAGUAGGGAAUCUUCCGCAAUGGGCGAAAGCCUGACGGAGCAACGCCGCGUGAGUGAUGAAGGUCUUCGGAUCGUAAAACUCUGUUAUUAGGGAAGAACAAAUGUGUAAGUAACUAUGCACGUCUUGACGGUACCUAAUCAGAAAGCCACGGCUAACUACGUG
rnacentral:rRNA from 1 species